AUUGAACGCUGGCGGCAGGCCUAAUACAUGCAAGUCGAGCGGAUGAAGGGAGCUUGCUCCUGGAUUCAGUGGCGGACGGGUGAGUAAUGCCUAGGAGUCUGCCUGGCAGUGGGGGAUAACGUCCGGUAACGGGCGCUAAUACCGUACAUGUCCUGAGCGUGAACGUGGUGGAUCUUCGGACCUCACGCUAUCUGAUGACCCUAGGUCGCAUUAGCUAGUUGGUAAGGUAAAGGCCUACCAAGGCGACGAUCCGUAACUGAUCUGAGAGGAUGAUCGGCCACACUGGAACUGAGACACGGUCCAGACUCCUACGGGAGGCAGCAGUGGGGAAUCUUCGGCAAUGGGCGAAAGCCUGACGGAGCAACGCCGCGUGAGUGAUGAAGGUCUUCGGAUCGUAAAACACUGUUAUUAGGGAAGAACAGAUGUGUAAGUAAAUCUGCACGUCUUGACGGUACCUAAUCAGAAAGCCACGGCUAACUACGUG
rnacentral:rRNA from 1 species